GCCAAAUUUGAUGUCACAGAUGUGACUGCCUGGUCAUACCUGUGACAGCAGAGCAUGGAGAAAGUGGCUAUUUCUAUGUUCAGUGCUCAGACUAUGGGCGCUAAGAAUAAGAAUGGUUUAGCCUCAUAUU